rnacentral:rRNA from 1 species
GGUGGUGCAUGGUUGUCGUCAGCUCGUGUCGUGAGAUGUUGGGUUAAGUCCCGCAACGAGCGCAACCCUUAUGACUAGUUGCCAGCAUUUAGUUGGGCACUCUAGUAAGACUGCCGGUGACAAACCGGAGGAAGGUGGGGAUGACGUCAAAUCAGCAUGCCCCUUAUGACCUGGGCUACACACGUGCUACAAUGGUCGGUACAACGAGUUGCGAACCCGCGAGGGUAAGCUAAUCUCUUAAAGCCGAUCUCAGUUCGGAUUGUAGGCUGCAACUCGCCUACAUGAAGCCGGAAUCGCUAGUAAUCGCGGAUCAGCACGCCGCGGUGAAUACGUUCCCGGGCCUUGUACAC